GCACUGCUGACGAGUCCCAAACAAGACGAACCAGCUGUCCAGUGC
rnacentral:hammerhead_ribozyme from 1 species